ensembl:piRNA 21ur-10742 ncRNA
UAUUUGGCCUAAAUCGAAUCA